UACGAAGGGGGCUAGCGUUGCUCGGAAUCACUGGGCGUAACGGGUGCGUAGGCGGGUCUUUAAGUCAGGGGUGAAAUCCUGGAGCUCAACUCCAGAACUGCCUUUGGUACUGAGGAUCUUGAGUUCGGGAGAGGUGAGUGGAACUGCGAGUGUAGAGGUGAAAUUCGUAGAUAUUCGCAAGAACACCAGUGGCGAAGGCGGCUCACUGGCCCGAUACUGACGCUGAGGCACGAAAGCGUGGGGAGCAAACAGG
rnacentral:rRNA from 1 species